UACGAAGGGGGCGAGCGUUGUUCGGAUUUACUGGGCGUAAAGGGCGCGCAGGCGGCGCAUUUUGUCAGGCGUGAAAGCCCCGGGCUUAACCUGGAACUGCGUUUGAUACGGAUGGGCUAGAGUUCGGGAGAGGAGAGUGGAAUUCCCAGUGUAGAGGUGAAAUUCGUAGAUAUUGGGAAGAACACCGGUGGCGAAGGCGGCUACUCGUGGACCGAGACUGACGCUGAGGCGCGAAGCGUGGGAGCAACAGG
rnacentral:rRNA from 1 species